CUUGGGCCUCACAAAAGAGAGAAAAACCCAACAACACAAUGAAUAUAGCAGCUUAUUUAACUCUGAUUGGUGCUGCUCAAGGUUUGAGAUUUCAAUUUUUGUCCUUCACAUGAGAGAAGGUUGUGUAGCCAUGAAUGCACCAAUGGAAUAAUCUUAUCCGCACCUCCAAGAAACAAAGCUUCAGAUGUGGCUCGUGUUAUUAACUCUCAUUUUGUACUUGAAUUCAUCCUUUGCACUGUGAAGUUUGACUUAGAGUUGAGAUUAUGAUUACCUCUCAUAAUCGUAGAACAUAAAUUAGUAGAAUCUAGAACUGUUUAGUAGGAUUGGGACACAAGGUUGAAGUUGAUCUC